AACGAACGCUGGCGGCAUGCCUAACACAUGCAAGUCGAACGAGACCUUCCGGUCUAGUGGCGCACGGGUGCGUAACGCGUGGGAACCUGCCCUUAGGUUCGGAAUAACUCCCCGAAAGGGGUGCUAAUACCGGAUAAUGUCUUCGGACCAAAGAUUUAUCGCCUUUGGAUGGGCCCGCGUUGGAUUAGCUAGUUGGUAGGGUAAAAGCCUACCAAGGCGACGAUCCAUAGCUGGUCUGAGAGGAUGAUCAGCCACACUGGGACUGAGACACGGCCCAGACUCCUACGGGAGGCAGCAGUGGGGAAUAUUGGACAAUGGGCGAAAGCCUGAUCCAGCAAUGCCGCGUGAGUGAUGAAGGCCUUAGGGUUGUAAAGCUCUUUUACCCGGGAUGAUAAUGACAGUACCGGGAGAAUAAGCUCCGGCUAACUCCGU
rnacentral:rRNA from 1 species